AACUUGAGACCGGCGCACGGGUGCGUAACGCGUAUGCAAUCUACCUUAUACAGGGGAAUAGCCCAGAGAAAUUUGGAUUAAUGCCCCAUAGUGUUAUAGAAUCGCAUGGUUUUAUAACUAAAGUUCCAACGGUAUAAGAUGAGCAUGCGUCCCAUUAGUUAGUUGGUAAGGUAACGGCUUACCAAGACGAUGAUGGGUAGGGGUCCUGAGAGGGAGAUCCCCCACACUGGUACUGAGACACGGACCAGACUCCUACGGGAGGCAGCAGUGAGGAAUAUUGGUCAAUGGGCGCAAGCCUGAACCAGCCAUGCCGCGUGCAGGAAGACGGUCCUAUGGAUUGUAAACUGCUUUUAUACAGGAAGAAACCUCCCUACGUGUAGGGACUUGACGGUACUGUAGGAAUAAGGAUCGGCUAACUCCGUGCCAGCAGCCGCGGUAAUACGGAGGAUCCAAGCGUUAUCCGGAAUCAUUGGGUUUAAAGGGUCCGUAGGCGGCCUUAUAAGUCAGUGGUGAAAUCUCCUAGCUCAACUAGGAAACUGCCAUUGAUACUGUAGGGCUUGAAUUUUUGUGAAGUAACUAGAAUAUGUAGUGUAGCGGUGAAAUGCUUAGAUAUUACAUGGAAUACCAAUUGCGAAGGCAGGUUACUAACAAACGAUUGACGCUGAUGGACGAAAGCGUGGGGAGCGAACAGGAUUAGAUA
rnacentral:rRNA from 1 species